AAGGUGUGCAGCACUUGCUGGAAAGAAAGGGGUACGUGGCUUCUUUGCAGGGAACAGCACUGCACAAUAUUCUCUAUCUUUGAUGUUGAAAUCACUUUUCUAAUGCUGCAAUUUCGAGAAUGUGUACACGUACUAGAUUUUUAUUUGAUGACAAAAACAACAUUGUCAUAACUAUGAUUUCAACAGAUUUUUUUAUUGUGCUUUCCAAGUAAGAGAGUGGUCACAUGCUCGCUCUCUAGUCUCUAUCCUCGUUUGGUUGGCCUAACUAAU
rnacentral:lncRNA from 1 species